rnacentral:rRNA from 1 species
CGCUGGCGGCGUGCUUAACACAUGCAAGUCGAACGAGGUUGCAGGAGAGCUUGCUCGAAUGUAACCGAGUGGCGGACGGGUGAGUAACGCGUGAACAAUCUGUCUCACACAGGGGAAUAACGCAUCGAAAGAUGUGCUAAUACCGCAUAGGACCACGGAUUCGCAUGGGUCUGAGGUGAAAGGAGCAAUUCGGUGUGAGGUGAGUUCGCGUCUGAUUAGAUAGUUGGUGAGGUAACGGCCCACCAAGUCAACGAUCAGUAGCCGACCUGAGAGGGUGAUCGGCCACAUUGGGACUGAGACACGGCCCAGACUCCUACGGGAGGCAGCAGUGGGGAAUAUUGGGCAAUGGGCGCAAGCCUGAACCCCAGCAACGCCGCGUGAAGGAAGAAGGUUUUCGGAUCGUAAGCUUCUGUCCUAUGAGAAGAUAGUGACGGUAUCAUAGGAGGAAGCCCCGGCUAACUACGUGCCAGCCGCUGC